CCCUUAGAUGUUCUGGGCUGCACGCGCGCUACACUGAAGCGUUCAACGAGUAUUUCACCUUGCCCGGGAGGGUUGGGUAAUCUUUUUAAAACGCUUCGUGAUGGGGAUAGAUUAUUGCAAUUAUUAAUCUUCAACGAGGAAUUCCUAGUAAGCGCGAGUCAUCAGCUCGUGCUGAUUACGUCCCUGCCCUUUGUACACACCGCCCGUCGCUCUUACCGAUUGAGUGAUCCGGUGAAUAAUUCGGACUGCAGCAGUGCUUGGUCCUCCGGGCUUUGCAGCGGAAAGUUUAGUGAACCUUAUCACUUAGAGGAAGGAGAAGUCGUANCA
rnacentral:rRNA from 1 species